rnacentral:rRNA from 1 species
GAUGAACGCUGGCGGCGUGCUUAACACAUGCAAGUCGAACGAAGCACUCUAAUUGAUUUCUUCGGAAUGAAGUUUUUGUGACUGAGUGGCGGACGGGUGAGUAACGCGUGGGUAACCUGCCUCAUACAGGGGGAUAACAGUUGGAAACGACUGCUAAUACCGCAUAAGCGCACGGUACUGCAUGGUACAGUGUGAAAAACUCCGGUGGUAUGAGAUGGACCCGNGUCUGAUUAGAUAGUUGGUGAGGUAACGGCUCGACCAAGUCGACGAUCAGUAGCCGGACUGAGAGGUUGAACGGCCACAUUGGGACUGAGACACGGCCCAGACUCCUAACGGGAGCAGCAGUGGGAAUAUGCACAAUGGCGCAAGCCUGAUGCAGCAACGCCGCGUGAGGGAAGACGGUCUUCGGAUUGUAAAGCUCUGUUGUCGGGACGAAUGUUGAGCUUAGAACAUAAGUUUC